rnacentral:lncRNA from 1 species
AAGGACUCCGAGCGCAUGAACAGUAGGAAAGACUAGAUUGGAAUCUCUUUGACUUGUGUUCAUGGGUAGUACAUUGCCCCAGCUCAUAGGUAUCAAUUACGUAUGGGGAUACCUAAGUUUGUUUUCCAUUGCUGGCUACGCAGAGCGGAAGAUGUGAAACCCGCUUUGAUUAACCAAGAAAACCUACGUGGUUGUGAGCAGUCCAGUCCACUGUGGUGGGAGCACACAGUGUAAGGAAGCUGCUUACCUCAUGACAACUAGGAAGUAAAAGAAGGGACUGGUGUCCUACAAUCCCCUUGAAGGACAGACCCCAGUAGCCUGAAGGCCCAUCUCCUAAAAUUCCACCAUGUGCACGGAGUGCCACCUUCCUGAGCACAGGUCUGACUGGGCAAAGAGAGAUUCCUCUGAGGAGAGAACCCUGCAGAAAUAAAUGAGCUGCUAUUUUGCUGUCUCCAAACUGCACGAGUUACAAAUAUGAAACAUGACCAAUAGCUGUGUUUGAAGAGAUCAUGUAUUUCCUGAAGAUCAAAACCGUCAUCUUCUACCCGACCUCUACAGUCUUCAAAAUCUGCUGGUCCAUCAUCCCAGUAAGAAUUUCUUGGGCAGAGGAAGAUAGUUUGAAAUAAGCUGAGGCUCAUUGGCUUGCUGCUAUAUCCGUGGGAUACAUAGGAGGGGGUAAUAUGAGGCCAAACCCCUAUGAGUGUCAGAACACACGGGAUAGUUAUAAUGAGAUAGAAAAGGAAGCCCUUUGUAAUGAUGUGCAAAAGAAACAUAGACAUGUUCUUACAAUCCGGCGGGCAUGUGUUUGACAUCCUGACUAACCAGGCACGGUAUGUGGAGGGAUAUUCCAAUUUCUAAGAUCUUUAUGGCUGGCAGCUCAUGGCCUCAGAAUGCGCUGCGCCUCUAUCAGUUUCUGACUGAGAAGUGUAAGAUAAAUAAGGGUCAGCAAAGCAGUUUGGUGAUGGUAUCCACUUAAACAAACCCUGCAUGGCAUCUGGCCAACUAAUACCAGGUUGCGGUGGGUGGGGCACAAGCAGCAUUGGCCUAGACCUGGACUUGUCAUUGUCUACCGCAUCAAUUGUUUUCACUCUCCCACACUGAAGUGUCUCAGCUUUCAUAGGAUUCUGCAUCCAGUUGGCCUCCCAUUCCUUUAUAUGGCUGCACUACAUAGCUCUCUUGUGGGUGUGACAACGUUCCUGACAUAGACAACUCCGAGGUUCAGAAGAAUCAGCCUACUGGCUCUUGAUCCCAUGCCCUUGGGCUGAUUAUCAUUGCACAGGGGUGUGCUACAGUGGAGGGCCCUUACCUCAUUUCAAACAGGAAGGAGAGGAGGUGAUGCAUCAAGAAGCCAAGGCCAGACACAGCCUCCAAAGCCAUGCUUCCUGUAGCCGACCUCCUCCAAGGAGCUCCCACUUCCUGUUUGUCAUCACUGCAUGACACUGUUAAUGAUAUUACAGACCCAUCAGGGAACUAAUCCAGUCCCAGGCGGCGCCCGCAGGGUCCAGUCACUUGCUCAAGCCUGUCUCCUAAUACAGAAACCAUAUUCAGACCAGGGUGAUGCUUCUGUGGCUCCAAGUACAUUCACUGUCUACUCUGCAAUUUCUCAACCUCAGUGGCAUGGACAUUUCGAGCCAAAACCUCAUAGCAUCCAUCAUAUGUGACCUUCACGUGAACUAUAGAAUGCUUAGCAGUGUCCUGGACCUCCAUUAUUGCAAUACUAGGAGUGUGUCCCAUGAACUUGUCUCAAAAUGAAUUAAGCAAAUAUAGAAAAGUACUGAGCAGGAAUUAUGAAUUUUAUUUUGGGAUGCUGAGUAGCUUUGGUAGUCUUACUUGUCCCUGGAAAGUUAGUUCAUGCUUUUGUUUUCUAAGGCUCUGGCAAUAACUUUGUAGCCACUUGCUUAUUUCUGGUGGGGUUAUAUAUGUUUUUGAGACAAUAUCUUGCUCUGCAGUGCAGGCGGACCUGUAACUUUCACCAUAGCCAGGUCUGGCCUCAAACUUAUAUAUCAACCCUGUGGCCUCAGCUUUCCAAAGAGUUGGGAUUACAGGUAUGAGGUAGCGUGUUUGGCCACAAUGGUUUACUUACUUCUUAUAGAUAAAACAAGGCAGAAACACUGUGGCACUGGUCCACUUUUCCAAGCUGAUAUUGUUUUUUUUCUUCUACUGUAGCAUAGAGUCUAUUCCUUCUGUGCACAAAAAUGCAAACAUACUCGAUGAGAUUAUGAAAUACCCCAAAAUUUCAUAAUGUUGCUCUUCAACCUCUCUUGCAGAAAAAUAAAAUAAUAUUGAUUAAUCAAUGUGACGUCUUUAGCUUGAUAAUAGUGGAACAUAAUAAUCUGAGAAAAAUAAGUGUUUGAGCUGCACAGAACUUUUACCAGUGACUAUAGUGACUACGCUAUAGUUUUGCCUUGAUGAUCCUUAGAUAAAAUACUCUUGACAAUUUCAAAUUUCAUCAAGCCAAAUAUUAAUAUCAGUAGGUAGGCUUGAAAGUGCUCACAAUGUGUAAAAAGUGUAGGACGACUUUGUGUAGAAGAAAUUCAUACAUUAAAAACAAAACAUGGAGGGCUGGAGAGACGGCUCAAUGGUUAAGAGCACUGACUACUCUUCCAGAGGUCCUGAGUUCAAUUCCCAUCAACCACAUGGUAGCUCACAACCAUUUGUAAUGAGAUCUGAUGCCCUCUUCCGGUGUGUCUGAA